ACUCAAAUGAAUAGACGGGGACCCGCACAAGCAGCGGAGCGUGUGGUUUAAUUCGAUGCUACACGAAGAACCUUACCAAGGUUUGACAUGUAAGUGGUAGUGAUCUGAAAAGUGAACGACCCUUCGGGGAGCUUACACAGGUGCUGCAUGGCUGUCGUCAGCUCGUGUCGUGAGAUGUUCGGUUAAGUCCGCUAACGAGCGCAACCCUCACUGUGUGUUACAAGUGUCACACGGGACUGCCGGUUUUAAGCCGGAGGAAGGCGAGGAUGACGUCAAGUCAGCAUGGCCUUUAUAUCUUGGGCUACACACACGCUACAAUGGUCUGUACAAUAGGUUGCCAAGCCGCGAGGCGGAGCCAAUCCUAAAAGCAGGCCUCAGUUCAGAUUGCAGGCUGCAACCCGCCUGCAUGAAGAUGGAGUUGCUAGUAACCGCAGGUCAGCUAUACUGCGGUGAAUACGUUCCCGGGUCUUGUACACACCGCCCGU
rnacentral:rRNA from 1 species